rnacentral:rRNA from 1 species
GACGGAGGAUGCAAGUGUUAUCCGGAAUCACUGGGCGUAAAGCGUCUGUAGGUGGUUUAAUAAGUCAACUGUUAAAUCUUGAGGCUCAACCUCAAAAUCGCAGUCGAAACUAUUAGGCUAGAGUAUAGUAGGGGUAAAGGGAAUUUCCAGUGGAGCGGUGAAAUGCGUAGAUAUUGGAAAGACCACCGAUGGCGAAGGCACUCUACUGGGCCAUUACUGACACUGAGAGACGAAAGCUAGGGGAGCAAAUGGG